rnacentral:lncRNA from 1 species
UUAGUCUUAUGUAUAGCGCAGCUCCCUCCAAGUUUCUUUUGCUAGUUUUGUUCCGAUCGAUGAAGGAUACUUUACUUGUGGGUUCGGAUUCGUUUUCCUAUUUCACAGGGACUUGUAUAUCAAUUCUGUCGGUGCUUCAAUAUUGUCUUGAUUGGCAGUGCAGUUUCUUAUUGUCUUGAUUGUUCUUAUUGUCUUGAUUGGCAGUUUCUUUCUUUUGAAUCUUCAGAGAGACCCUUAGAGUUCUGUCCGGGAGGGUUUGUGAGUAAACUAUGUAUCAAACCGUAAGUGAAGCGGUCUACAAAGAAUACUUUCCAUCUUCCUUCUUUGGCGCAGCUGGAGAUGCCCCACAAGGCCUUAUUUCUCAAGAUUGAAUUAUUCGCGAAAGGAAGCCGGCAAUAGAAAGCAAGCAACCUUUUUGAAUCCAUUGAAGUAGGUGGCCGUGUACACUAGGUAUCAACAAAGCAAAGGACGCUUUCUCUCACCUAACUCUUCGCCUUCGGCUUUCCAUUGAAUGAUCUAUCAGGUGUGCUAUUUAGACUCUGUCAGUUGGGGCUUAUCCCUUUUCAAUAUACAUGGCAUAUACUUACACGAAUAUUCCAACUCAUCGACUCCGCUCAAAGCAUAUGAUCAAAGCUAGAGUGGCGCACAUAGCACAAGAGACUAAUGGAAUUCUCGUUGACCUGACCGGCAGUAAUAGCGAACAAAGACUGUUCUAAUGGAAAAGGGCGAGUACCUCUUUGUGGUAGAUAACGCAACCGAACAAGAAAUUAUGCUUUAAGUAUAGCAAAGCAUCUGGGCGAGCCCCUACACCCGGAAACUGCCAGCGAAUCAUAACUGAACAAGAGGAAGUAGAGCGUCUCACUACUAUAUAUGCUGUACCACAUACGAAGACCCAAAGCCGUUCUUUCUUUAUAGAAGUCCCCAGGACUUUAAGUGCUCAAUGGAAUUUUCCUUGAAAACGAUUCCCUUUACUUCUAGACGAACUGGUUAAUAUUGAACUUGAGUUUAUUCGCCACCGCCCCUCUAUACAUUCCUUCGGCGAGAAAGAAAGCAAGAUCCUUCGGCGAGAAAGAAAGCAAGAAACGUGUUCGGAUAGGGGAGGAAUUGAGUACCUGCCCCCCUACUAAGCAUAAGGGUAUGACCAGCCAGAUCCGAUAACAGCGAUUCUCCGUCUCUGACCUGGAGUUAGAAUAUAUACUGAUCUACAGACAUUUGACCUGGAGUUAGAAUAUAAUAUAUACUGACAACAUUAGCCCAAAAUGCAAUGAUAGCUCGCAUUAUUCAUAGUAAGUCGAUACAUCAUGCUUUUGAGGAAGCUAUUCGGCUCCCUAUUUAUACAUUCUUUCCGUUUGAUGGGCGUGUUCUCGUUUCUAGGUUUGGAUGUUAUUUCAUAAGGGUAUACAAUAAUGACAUUACGUCAAUACAUUCAUCUCAUCUUUUUACGUCAAUACAUUCAUCUCAUCUUUCCAAUCUCUGAAUUCUUGAUCCGCUCAUGCCUCUCACUUUAUGCCUUCCAUUCGACUCCUACACGAAGAAGUCUGACCGUACUUUAUGCCUUAUAUUCGGCUCCUACCUUACCAAGUCCGACCGGGCUUUUCGUUAUCAACUGCUUUCUUUCUGACUUCCAUAUUUGUAUCGUGGGCUUGAGUCCGCCUACGAGUCUAGAUUUACCGUUCGGUACACAUAGCUUUGACUAUCGAAGGAUAGAACAGAACCUAUAGCCUAUUCAGUAUAAGCAUCCUUAUAGAACCUAUAGCCUAUUCAGUAUAAGCAUCCUUAGGGAGGGAAAGUAUAUAUAAGGGGACUCGCCCAAAAUACUGAGACAAUAUCUCAAUUCUUUGCAAUUCUUUUGACUUUUGGGAUUGAAACCCACUUACGGGAAUAAGGCAAGUUAGAUAUUUCACACAAGCUUGGCACCCGGGGGAAUAAGGCAAGUUAGAUAUUUCACACAAGCUUGGCACCCAGGAAUAGGCGUUUUAUGGAUGAUUCAAGCCCUGCACACUCAAAGGCGAGAACGAAGUAGCAAGUCC